AUGCGGGAGUGGGAGUCCAGGGCGGACGAGCAGCGCCGGGUCGUGGCAGACCUGAUGCGCCUCAUCGGUAUGCCGGAGGGUCCGGUCACAGUGGCUUCAACACUACUAGAGGAAGAAGCUGGAGCAUAUCUCACCGAUAAGGAAUCGCUGGCGACACCGACAAGAGAAAUUAUGGCAGCAGCAAUCGAAAGCAGCAGCUCUUGA
rnacentral:rRNA from 1 species